rnacentral:rRNA from 1 species
GAUUCCCUGAGUAACGGCGAGCGAAAGGGGAAGAGUCCAGCGCCAAGUCUUGACACUVGHGUGUUCAAGAGAUGCGGCGUUAAUGUGUUGGUGCAUCGUGCAUCGUUUGGUGUUUCAAGUUUCCUUGAGAGGAACUUCCAGAGUGGGUUCUAGGCCCAUAGAGACACGAAACCGGUGUACGCAGGCCAAUGCAUUCUAGAGUCAGGUUGCUUGAGAGUGCAGCUUAAAGCCGGUGGUAAACUCCAUCCAAGACUAAAUAUUACAGCGAGACCGAUAGCAAACAAGUACAGUGAUGGAAAGUUGCAAAGCACUUUGAAGAGAGAGUUCAAUAGUACGUGAAACCAUUGGCAGGCAAACAGAUGGAACCACGAAGUUGCGCUUUGGUCGAUUCAACCGNAGCUGUGCGUCAGUGGUGUUGGUCGAGGAUCUCUUCGGAGGUUGGACCAGCGUCUUUAGAUGUGCAGCAUUGGUGCAUUUCGAACCAGAGAUGCUAAGCCACGUUCGACUAGACGGUUGGAACGGCUGUAGGAMAGGGUUUGAGGAAGGUGCCCGUCAGUUGCUUGCAGUUGACGGCGUUAUAGACUCGAACCGGCACCGUUGCCUAACGAACUGGUCGAUGAAAUUGUUCCGAAAGGAAUUGAACUGUGCUUGCCUGUGGUGGCUAGUCAGUGCUGAUUGGCGUUCUUUGCGUGCUUUCGGGUGCGAAAAGCCGUUGUGAAUGUGCUGGCUAGUCGCUGCUUGCGUAGCGCAGUGGAACUGUGGCACGAGUAGGUCGGUGUCCAUCUGACCCGUCUUGAAACACGGACCAAGGAGCCUACCAUAUACGCGAGUCGCUCGGUCUUGAUUAGGCCCGAGAGGCAGAAUGAAAGUAAAGCUACGAUGCUCAYGCAGCAGUAGCAKCUCGCCUGCUUCGUUUGUUGGCGAUUUGGCGAAGCUGGAGCGUAUACGGUGGUACCCGAAAGAUGGUGAACUAUGCCUGGGCAAGACGAAGUCAGAGGAAACUCUGAUGGAGGUCUGUAGCGAUUCUGACGUGCAAAUCGAUCGUCAGACCUGGGUAUAGGGGCGAAAGACUAAUCGAACCAUCUAGUAGCUGGUUCCCUUCGAAGUUUCCCUCAGGAUAGCAGGCGCUUGUGAUAGUGUCAUCCGGUAAAGCUAAUGAUUAGAGGUCUUGGGGCUGAAACGGCCUCAACCUAUUCUCAAACUUUAAAUGGGUGAGAUGGUCGACUUUCUUGAUUGAAGCCGACCGAUCGGAUAUGAGUGCCUAGUGGGCCAUUUUUGGUAAGCAGAACUGGCGCUGUGGGAUGAACCAAACGUCGAGAUAAGGCAUCGAAUGUGCACGCUCAUGAGACCCCAUAAAAGGUGUUGGUUGCUAUAGACAGCAGGACGGUGGCCAUGGAAGUCGGAAUCC